GGGAUGAGCGGCGGACGGGUGAGUAACGCGUGGGAAUAUGCCCUUCUCUAAGGAAUAGCCUCGGGAAACUGAGAGUAAUACCUUAUACGCCCUUCGGGGGAAAGAUUUAUCGGAGAAGGAUUAGCCCGCGUUAGAUUAGGUAGUUGGUGGGGUAAUGGCCUACCAAGCCUACGAUCUAUAGCUGGUUUGAGAGGAUGAUCAGCCACACUGGGACUGAGACACGGCCCAGACUCCUACGGGAGGCAGCAGUAGGGAAUCUUAGACAAUGGGGGAAACCCUGAUCUAGCCAUGCCGCGUGUGUGAUGAAGGCCUUAGGGUCGUAAAGCACUUUCGCCAGAGAUGAUAAUGACAGUAUCUGGUAAAGAAACCCCGGCUAACUCCGUGCCAGCAGCCGCGGUAAUACGGAGGGGGUUAGCGUUGUUCGGAAUUACUGGGCGUAAAGCGCACGUAGGCGGAUUAGUAAGUUAGAGGUGAAAUCCCAGGGCUCAACCCUGGAACUGCCUUUAAUACUGCUAGUCUUGAGUUCGAGAGAGGUAAGUGGAAUUCCAAGUGUAGAGGUGAAAUUCGUAGAUAUUUGGAGGAACACCAGUGGCGAAGGCGGCUUACUGGCUCGAUACUGACGCUGAGGUGCGAAAGUGUGGGGAGCAAACAGGAUUAGAUACCCUGGUAGU
rnacentral:rRNA from 1 species